ACGUAGGGGGCGAGCGUUAUCCGGAUUCAUUGGGCGUAAAGCGCGCGUAGGCGGCCGCGCAGGCGGGGGGUCAAAUCCCGGGGCUCAACCCCGGGCCGCCCCCCGAACCGCGCGGCUUGGGUCCGGUAGGGGAGGGCGGAACACCCGGUGUAGCGGUGGAAUGCGCAGAUAUCGGGUGGAACACCGGUGGCGAAGGCGGCCCUCUGGGCCGAGACCGACGCUGAGGCGCGAAAGCUGGGGGAGCGAACAG
rnacentral:rRNA from 1 species